rnacentral:misc_RNA from 1 species
AAGUCGUAACAAGGUCUCCGUUGGUGAACCAGCGGAGGGAUCAUUACAGAGUUGCAAAACUCCCUAAACCAUCGCGAACGUUACCUUUACCGUUGCUUCGGCGGGGGGCUCCAGGGCGGAGCCGCAGCCCUCACAGGCGCCCGCCGGCGGCACUACAAACUCUUUUUUAUUACAGGCCUCUCUGAGUAAUUUAUACAAAUAAGUUAAAACUUUCAACAACGGAUCUCUUGGUUCUG